GACGAAGGAUGCAAGCGUUAUCCGGAUUCAUUGGGUUUAAAGGGAGCGUAGGUGGCCUUAUAAGUCAGUGGUGAAAUCUCUGGGCUUAACCCAGAAAUUGCCAUUGAUACUGUAGGGCUUGAGUAUAGAUGCCGUUGGCGGAAUAUGACAUGUAGUGGUGAAAUACAUAGAGAUGUCAUAGAACACCGAUUGCGAAGGCAGCUAACGAAACUAUAACUGACACUGAGGCUCGAAAGUGCGGGGAUCAAACAGG
rnacentral:rRNA from 1 species